CUUAUCUUAUUAUGAAGAUUACCACUUAUUUCCAUCGUCACAUAAGUUGAAUACGCAAUCCUCAAUGGUGUCCCUGCGGCAUUGACGUCGACGUCCUCGGACUCUCCUGCCAAAGGAGCGCCGGCCUCUUCUCUAGACACGCCGCGCUCAACGACAUUCUCCGCCGGUCUCUUGCCUUGCCAGCGUCAACGUGCCAGCUCUACUCGAGCCCCCCGGCAUUAUAAGAGAUGAUGGUAAGAGACCGGAUGGAAUGACACUAAUUCCGUUGAAGGGACGGGUGCUGGUGUGGGACGCCACCUGUGUAGACACCCUAGCCCCGUCUCAUCUCCACGGCACUUCUGCUAAGGCUGGCGCGGCGGCAGAGGCGGCCGAAAAAUUAAAAAAAAUAUUAUUUAGUAAUAUAGGGGUCUCGACGCCGAAUACUAUUGCGUACCAUUGGGCGUCGAGACCCUUGGUCCGUGGGGUCUUCAGCGAGGAAAUGCUGCUAGCGUCUACGGCACCAUGCCGCAGGGGGAUAGUUUUUAGUAUUUUAUUUUAAGACAAGUAUUAUUUAUUUUUAGAUCUAGGUUUUAACUUUUGUAGUUUGGUUUUUAGUACAAUAAAUAUUUUUGAUAAAAAAAUGUAAUGAAAUAUUCAUGUAUUUUGAUUCAUUAAUCAAAACAACAAGGCCUAGUUUACCCUAUUCAGCUGUUACAUAUAUUUGAACCUUAAUAUUAUCAAGAUACAGUGGCUUUUAAAAGGACAUUGGUGCUUUGCCUCGUGCUUAAUACGAGAGCUGACCGCUCGCAUAAAAGAAACAAGGGCUCUGAGGCCUAUAAAUGAUUUCAGAAAAUUCGUACUAUAGAAAUCUGGUUAACCACUUCGUUUGUUCGUUCGUCUAUGUAGGUACCUCUCUAACUCUUGCAAUUCCGAAAAAAAAUUCGAAUCAUGUCUCCGUAUUUUCCCAUUACCCAGACCAUAAACCCAUAGCUCGCAUGAUCCGACGAAAGCAAAGACGAAUGUCAAAACAUCGUAUCCUGAAUAAAAUAUAAGCGAGACGAGUGCUCAGUUUCGAGAUAUAAUGCUAUUGAUAAAUUUACCAACGUCUCUCACAUGAUAUUAAGGGGUGGCACAUUGCCACCCUUGCCCGAUCUAUUAUUAUGCUGGGCAGGUCGCGACGUAUGGACUUAGGGUUGGCGAUUGCUUGUAAAGAAGAUUGCGAGAUUUUUUUUUAAUGUUAAUUGAUUAUCAGGCAGUCAUGAUUAUCAGAGUUGAAUUUUAUAGCUAUUGUCGACUCCAUAGCUCGCUAUGUCUUACCGUGCGAUAAAAACUUCGAUGCCUGUUGAUUAUAGCCCGUUUUUUAGCAUUACAAGGAAGGUAAACGAUUGUGACGUGUCCCUUUUAUUAAAAAAACACUUUAAAAAAUAAAUUACGGUAAAUAUGUAACAAUUAUAAAUCAUAUGCGAUCAUUUACAUUAUUUUGCUUUCGUAUGUAAUAGUUAUUAUUAAAAAAAAAGACAUGCCAAGAUUGUUUAACCUUUUUCUAA